CAGGGUCAAAAAUGACUCGUGCAUGAUUUAUGUUUUAUGGUUGUUUUUAUUCUAUUUUGCAUGUUUUAUGGUUUUUAUUCGGUUUUGUAUGUUUUAUCCCUGCAUGUUGGUUGUUUGGGUUGCUUUUAAUAUGUAGAUUGAAGUGUUUUUAAGAUGUCAUGAACUAGACCCGUGGACAGCCACACCCCCAAUCAAAGAGACUGAUUAGGAGAGGAGCGACAGGUGUGGCGGAGGGCCUGCAAUUAGCAGGAUGCAGCACAGGUGGAGAGGACACAAAAGGAGAGAGCGGCUCACAGCAGGAGGGGAUCUUCAGUCAGAGACAGUCCAGGGACAGCGGUGCAGCAGAACAGCUCUCCUGACUACUACCUACCAGCCCAGUGACUUGAGAGUUCCUGUGAGACUACAUGCAACAGACCGUGUCCGCCAACGCAGAUUCACUCAGAAAACUUUCGGACAGUGCUGGAGAGACGGCCGAGACGGGCAGACGGCUAGUAGGAGUACGGGAGGAGCUAAGACGCGGACAUGGGAGGAUCGCUGGAUUGGACUAGAGUGGACUGCACUGGAUUAAAGAGCCGGAUUGGACUGGACUGGAUCACUGGAUUGGACUGGACUUUUUAUAGGGUUUUAACCUUGCUGCUAGUAGCAUUUUAUUCCUUUUAGCUAUUAGAUUAAUUAAUUCAUUUUAGACCCAUGUUAUUUUAAUUGCAAUGAAUCUGGUUUUAAUUUG